rnacentral:rRNA from 1 species
AUUGAACGCUGGCGGCAUGCUUUACACAUGCAAGUCGAACGGUAACAGGUUAAGCUGACGAGUGGCGGACGGGUGAGUAAUGCAUCGGAACGUGCCCGGUCGUGGGGGAUAACGCAGCGAAAGCUGCGCUAAUACCGCAUACGAUCUGAGGAUGAAAGCGGGGGACCGUAAGGCCUCGCGUGAUCGGAGCGGCCGAUGUCAGAUUAGGUAGUUGGUGGGGUAAAGGCUCACCAAGCCAACGAUCUGUAGCUGGUCUGAGAGGACGACCAGCCACACUGGGACUGAGACACGGCCCAGACUCCUACGGGAGGCAGCAGUGGGGAAUUUUGGACAAUGGGCGAAAGCCUGAUCCAGCAAUGCCGCGUGCAGGAAGAAGGCCUUCGGGUUGUAAACUGCUUUUGUACGGAGCGAAAAGGUCUCCUCUAAUACAGGGGGCUCAUGACGGUACCGCAAGAAUAAGCACCGGCUAACUACGUGCCAGCAGCCGCCGUAA